rnacentral:lncRNA from 1 species
CUUGUUACGCAGAUAUCCUAUAAACUUGUACAUACACAUUCACCAGUCACAGAUAAGGAGGCGCAUCUCCUGGAAGAGUGUCUCUACAAUUUAGAAAGAAAGCUCAAGGACAGAUUUCUUUUCAAAUAAGAAACACUCAUUGGAAACCUACUGUCCCCUCUAGGAUUAGAAUUCUGGAAGUAGAAUUUCCCAAGUAUUAAAUGCUGAGGAUGGGCUUUCCAAGACUGCCUAGCCAAUUGUUCAAUUCUGAAAAAGUUACUGAUAAGUACUAGCUGAAAACCACUCUGGAAAAGCAGAGGCUGGUUUUCUUUUUCAUGGGAAUGUCAUCUUCCAGGUCACAGGAUGCUCCACUCCCCAGGGCCCAAGGGCAGUGACAGCCUCAGGAACAACUCACCACUUCAGCUGGUCAGGAUUGUUCCCAGUACGCACUAGUCACACACAAGGCUCCAUUGUGGCCAAGACAGCCUCAUAGGAGACUAGAGGCCUGGCAGCCAGACCUCACAAGAGCAUCAAAUUUACUGUUUCAACGAUUGGUAGGUUUACAAUUCAAAUUGUGCCAUUAAUUCUGUUUGCAAUAAUGUGCAACCAUCACCACUAUCCAUGAUUUGUGCCAUGAGUGAGGAUGCGCCCCUGUUUUUCAGCCCAGCUAACAAGUCAACAAAGGAGAAACCAGUCUCUGGGCAAAAACAGGAGGGAAACAAGAUGAGGGGCAUAAUCAGCUCCGGAGAGGAGCCUAGUGAUACCACGACGACGAACAUUCAGGGAAGGAAGGAUGAUCCCGCAGUGGCAGGAAAGUCAACACAUGCAACAGGUAGUAAAAGACCCAAGCUAAUUGUGAAUGAAUGCCUCUGCUAUCAAGAAAUUGGUAGUUAAAUUAUACCAACUUGAAGUAACAGAGAAAUUUGUGAAGAUAAUACCAGGUUCUCUUUUCUGCUUCCAGAGAAAAUGUAGAUUCUAUUUAAAAAUCAACAUCAGUCUUAGGAGACAGUAGUGACUUCCCUCACAAAAGGAAGCUUCAUUUCUACUCUGCGGUGUGAGGAAGCUCUUCAGGCUGGCUGGUGAGAGAGCCUGAGACAUUCUUGUCAACACAGCUGACACCCCUAUCUCGUACAACAUGCAACACUAGGCCUGUUUGCAGAAGGAGAGACAAGUAGAGUGUUUCAACGAAUCAUUACCACAGUUGGUCUACUGAAAAGGGCUCCCAAGAGUCCUGUUGGAGUUGGAGCUUCUGUCAGAGAAUCAAACCCAGUGUAAACAAAAAGGUCCCUUGAACAAUAUCAUUAAUUGAAAGUUGCUGACUUAAGAGUCCUCCCGGGGAGGCCUCUGCUUCUUGAAUUCAGCCACGAACAGAGCUAUAUGCACAUUCACUGGGCUCCUCUGGGCCAUGGGGCCUCUUUUCUUAUGGUCAUUGUUCCUAACUCGUGCUGUAUUUCUUUGGCUUUAAGACAGUCCUGUUUCAAUGAGCAGAAAUAGUGCAACCCAAAGAAGAAAAGGAAAGCCUAGGAGUUUCCUGUCGCUGCUCUAGGUUGAUCUUGGCAGGGAACACAAGAGUGAAGAGUGAGGGGAGGAGGCUGGAGGUGAGAGUCUAAAGCCACAUUAAGGUGUUAGAGCCUUGGCCUGAGGGCUGGGGAGCUAUUAAAGGGUUCUGAAUAAUGGGACAUGAUCAGGUUGGGAACCUUGGGGAUGUUUGCAUUUCCCUUCCUUGCUGAUAUUAAUGUCUUAACUUGUCCAACUUUCAUGUGCAUGGGAAUCCCCUUGAGUAUUGAAAAAUGGCAGAGUCUAACCCAGUAGUUCUCAGGCUGAGCCCCAGAUGCUACAACAAGCUCUGAGGUGCUACAAGGACUGCUGAGCUGCAGACAACACUUUGAGUAGCAAAGCUGAACAGAAUCACUUGUAAGCAACCACCAUGGAGUUUUUUUCAGAGCCUGGAAGAAGGCAAGGGAAUGGCUGGAGGGCGUACAUCAAGCUCUUUUCCAUCUUCAAAUAGCUCUGUGUUUUCCUGGGGCGAUGUAAUAGCCCAAGCAGAGAACAAUGUGACAACAUUCUUCAUCAUUCUUUCUGCGCCCUUUGCUUGUUCUGGACCAUUACUCCCAUUACUCGGACUCGCUGCACUUUCAGCUCAGAACUCCCUGUCUCGUCCUGCUCUCCGUGUGCACUUAUUUACAAAGAAGCUUUGAAGUUCCUUUUUCCCAAUGUCUUGAGCAGGACUGACCUCUCCAUUUCUCGAGGUCAACAUCAAGCCAAGAACAUUUGCUUCUUCAAAAAGGACCAUCGUGCCUUGGUUUGGAUGAUUUAGAGAUAUGAAGGAAAGUUGCAGAGAAAUAAAUUGGGUCCAUUUAAAUUGAUAUUGCAAAGAGAAACACAGGAGUUGUCAAGCCUUUGUUUCAUCAAUAUAGCAUAUCCACAUGCCACUGCAUAGUAUAAGUGACAUGAUAAGUGUAAAGUCCUGAGCAUAAAGUCCAGUACACAGGAAGCAUCCAGUGUAUGGCUUUAUAAUUUACUCUGUUAAGCUGCAUUAAACUUACUUCUCUUCCAACCUCAGAAAGACAGUAUAAUGCACUAGCUAAUACUCAAGACUUUCAUUGACUGAUAGAUCAAUAGAACAGAAGAGAGUCUGAAAAGACUCAGAUGCACAUGGCCACUUGGCCCCUUGAUUGGCAACAAAGCAGCCACUGAAGUUCAGUGGGAGAAAGAUGACCCUUUCGUGUAACUGGUGCUUGGACAGUUUGAUACCGUGUGGCAUAUAACUAAACCUGGACCUUUACUUCACACAAUACACAGAAUUAACUUGAGAAGGAUCACAGACUUUAAAGUGAACAGACCUUAAGGUAGAACAAUAGAAAUCCUACUUUAAGACACACAUAAGAGAAUACCUUUGUGAUUUAGAGGUUAAUUAAGAUUACUUAAUCACGACAUAGGAAGUGCUAAUCAUAAGAGAUAAAACUGGUAUUUGAAGUAAUAUACUCAAUAAUACCUACAACUUAGUCGUGCCUUUUAUAUUAGCUACAGUUUCUAUUUAUUUGAGAUUUACAAUGUAUCGUGAAUGAUAACUCAACCCCAUCCAAAUACUCACACACAAAGCCUUAAAUUUCACAUUCAUUUUGCGGAGACAUUUGCAAUUGCAAAAUACCAGUCCUUUCCCAAUUAAUGAUUUCUAAGCAAGAACAAAAAGAGAGGCCUCAGUCGCACUUCUAGAAUCCCACUAAAAAGCAGCCCAGAAAGAAAACUGAGUAUUGGUGCAGAGCUCUGAUGAAUCCAUGGGCAUCGUUUUGGGUCAUAUGACCCUCCC